CCCAGCGAGCAGAGGGGUAACCGCGGUCACUUUUCGGUCACCUGACGAAAGUUGAGCAAAGUGUGGUUUUGUGUUUCAGGCAUGAUCCUGAUUCAUGUUUCAUUGGAAUUUUUUUGAAAUUUUGCUUGGAUCAUGCAAAUUUUGAGUGCCCAGUCUUGGGCACCCGAUGGGCACCUUUCGGUUACCCGGAGCGGGCAGGGGGUCACUUGCGGUCACCUAACAAAAUUAAAACUAAGGGUGAUUUUGCAUUUCAGGCAUGAUCCUGAAUCAUGAUUCAUUAAAUUUUUGUCUAAAUUUGGCUUGGAUCACCGAAAUUGCCACUGCCCAGUCUUGGGCACCCAUCGGGCACCUUUCGGAUACUCGGAGUGGGCAGGGGGUUACUUGCGGUCACCUAACAAAAUUAAAACUAAGAGUGAUUUUGCAUUUCAGGCAUGAUCCUGAUUCAUGUUUCAUUGGAUUUUUUUUAAAUUUGGCUUGGAUCAUGCAAAUUUUGAGUGCCCAGUCUUGGGCACCCGAUGGGCACCUUUCGGUUACCUGGAGCGGGCAGGGGGUUACUUGCGGUCACCUAACAAAAUUAAAAUUAAGGGUGAUUUUGCAUUUCAGGCAUGAUCCUGAAUCAUGUUUCAUCGGAUUUUUUUCGAAAUUUGGCUCGGAUCACCGAAAUUGCCCGUGCCCAGUCUUGGGCACCCAUCGGGCACCUUUCGGAUACUCGGAGUGGGCAGGCGGUUAACCAUGGUCACUUGCGGUCACCAAAAAAUUAAACUAAGAGUGGUUUUGCAUUUCAGGCAUGACCCUGAACCUGGCUUCGUUGGAAUUUUUUAUAUUUGGCUGGGAUCACCUAAAAUUGCCAGUGCCCAGUCGUGGGCAACCAUCGGGCAGCUUUCGGGUAGCUCGGAUCGGAUAACUGCGGUGUGACCGGAUCAUGAACUGUGUUCGUAAAAUUUUGGGCACAGAAAAAAAAUAUUGUUUUGGUUAUUGUUAGGAAUGAAAAAUAAAUUUUUUAUGCAUUUUAAUAUAUGAUUGCUUAAAAGGGGCAACUUUUGGUUACCCAAUGGUUAACCAAUGCGCGGGCACUUUUUUCCUUUACUUGCUUUUUUACCCUCAAAUUUUGUCAGUUUUUCGUCACCACAAAAGUUUUAACUUAUUUUGGAAAAUAUUUUUGUAAAAGUAGUAAAAUUACACAAAUAAAUAAAAAAACUUUGAUAACCAAAAUGGGUUAACCAAUGGGCAACCAAUGAGCAACCUAAAAUAACCACCGUAAAUUCUUGAGUUCAUGUUUCGUAGAAAUUAUUUUUUAGAAAUUUAUUUGGUUAUAACACUAAUUAGCAUUUCAAACUCUUUAAAUUAACUCGUUUUGAGCACUUAUUCAUGCUCAGCAUUAUCGCGCGCGUUUCUAUGUAACACUCGUCAACCGCGCGUGUGGCGCCACUGUCGGCAGCAGCACCAGCUGCUGCUGCCGGCUGCCUAUGGCUGAUCUGGCUGAUCUGGCUCAGUUACUGACUGACUGUAAACAAGCAUGACGGUUGAGACGCGCUGCGAUUGCAUCAUCAUUGUUAGCCGAUUAUUUCGCCCUGAUUUCGGUUGCAUUUCGGCAAAUCGACAACAUCAACAGAUACUUGGACGGAUGGUCGAUGUUCCUGAUAUUCCGAAAGGCUUCUACCGCAUCCCGCCCUGAUGUCCUUGUUGGGAAUAGCUGCCUGUACACGAUGGCCAUCCGGUUAUAAGCCUGGAAAACUUAACUAAACAUCGCCCGCAUAUUAUCCAGAGUUGUGUGCUGUUGGUUCGAUUUGCUUUUGCUACCGACGUGGAAUGCGCUGGGACUAUGAACUCCUGCAGAGAUGAAAAGCAACGAACCCACAUGUUUUGGCAGGAAGCGCGCUGGACGACAUGGGUAGAGGGUUAAUUUGUGGUAAUCUUUGUAUGUUUAAUGGCUAUUUUUGAUGAUAAAUUUUGUGUUUAUACCUUGAAAAUUAAUUUUUACAAAGUUCAAUUUGCUGCUUAAAUACUUCAAUUUUCUAUUGUUAUGUUUGUAACAACUAUAAUAUUAUCCCAUAACUAUUUUUGUGUUUUGUGAUUUAGUUUGGAAUUGCGGCAUAUUUUUUAGUUCAAGUUGGCUUCCUCUUGAAGUAGAUUUUAGUAUAAUUUCCAAGACAGUUAACUAUUGUGGCAACUAAAUUUUAAAAUCAAUUACUUAUUGUCAGAUAAUCAUCGUGGGUUUAAAGUUAAAAAUUGCAAAAGCCUUAAAGUUUUGAAAUCAAAAACAACAGAUGAGCCACCACAUACUGAUUUUAAUUGCACUGUGGUUUUUUUAAAUACUGUUACCGUGCCUUCUUGACUAAAAAUCAUUAAUUUUAAUGUGCUGAGAACCAUAACCAGUUCAACCAAUUACCCUAGAACCAUCAGCAGAUUGAAAAUAUAUAUACAAUCAGGUUUAGACGAUGGACGGUUUUGGUUUCCAGCACAUCAAAUAGAAUUAUUUUAAGGGUUGAAUGCGCAGCAUCAGGAAUCUUAUUAAAAUCAAAAGUAACAGCUGGCAGCCAAGGGGAAUUCACAACUUCUGGUGAACUCGUACAAUUUAUAUAAUCAUCCAACAUUAUUUUUGCUUUGUUGCUGCAUCACCUCAUAAAUUAAUGUGUUAUUAUAGUUUAAAUUAUUAGGUUUUAUUAACUUUUAAGUGUGCAGUUCUUCAAAGUCUAUUGUACGCGAUUCUAUGGGUUUGAAAAAUUUUUGUUUACAUUAUUUAUUAUUUAUUUGUUUUUGCUUAUUGUGUUAUUGAAAGGUGGAAUGUAACUUAACUGUAUUGAGGUAUCACCUUGGAAUUUUCGCUGCCAAACCCAGAUUUCGAUACUGAAAAACUUAUUUUUCCAUAAAUUUGCAAUUUGAAGGUCAAGGUCACCUUUCUCGACCUUAAGGGAUGGUGGCCUCCUUAGAUUUUUUCAGGGUUCAAGCCUGAAAUGUAGCCCGUGAAAAUCUGAACAAGCACACCAAGUUUCAGAAGUGCAAAAAUAGUUUGCUAUAAUUUGUUAAAGAAAGUUUAAUUUAGGCUUGAUGCCGCUCGAUCGAGCAUGCUCGUUAGUCGGCGAGUUCGCCUAUCAUUUGUCGAUAAUAUUUUUACCCAUUCCAUUUGAUUAGGCACAACAAGAGGACCAAGAUUUGACAUAGUAAGGUCAAAAUCGACCUUCAGGGUCUGACCCUGACGAGACCCUGAGAUAAUAAUUUAGAAAAUGUCCAAUUUCAUCAAGAAUGGUGUCUUUUAAUAGGUUUUCGCCGCUGCACAGCUCAAAUAUAGAGCCUAAACUGCCGAAUGACAAUCCUGAAACCGGUUCUUGAAAUAAUUGUGGAAGCCAUUAAUCCUGACGUGAUGUUAAAUGUUGUUAAAAUUGAAAAUCAGCAGUUUUGGCUUUAUAUUAGAGCUGCAGAGCCUAUAGAAAGACACUAAGUUUGAUGAAAUUGAGUUUUUUUAAAUUUUUAUCUCAGGGUCUCGUCAGGUACAGACCCUGAAGGUCGAUUUCAACCUUAAUAUGUCUACCCUGGGCCCUCUUGUUGUGUCUAAUCUAAUGGAAAAUGUAAAAAUAGUCUUGACGAAUGAUAGGCGAACUCGAAGACUAAAGGCCGUACUCGAUCGAGCGGCCUCGAGCUGGUUAUUAAACUUCAAUUAAAAUUGCACCUUUGAAACUUGGUGAGCUUGAGCAGAAUUUCAAGGGCUACAUUUCAGCCAUGAACCCCAAAAAAUCUAAGGGUUCUAUCAUCCCUUAAUUUUGAAUUUUCGAAAAAGGUCGCGAAAGGUGACCUUGACCUACAACCUGCAAAUGUUUUGAAAACUGAAAAUUUGUUCAGGAUCGAAAACAAGGUUGGACAGUAAAUAUUUCAAGGUGAUACCACAACGCAGUCAAGAGUUACACUUCGCCUUUCAAUUUCUGAAUUCAUGUUCCGGGGAUUUUUAAGAAAUUGUAAUAUUAGGGAAUGGAUGGUCAUUGAUUUAUAAAAUGUUUAAUUUUGUGAUUUUUACUUUGCUGUAUUGAAAUAACAAAUAAAAGUGCUGCCCAUCUGGCUGCCCACUGAGGGUAACCCCAAGCGGGCACCCAAUGGUUACCUUUUGGCUACCUCUUACCUCGGGCUGUCAUUUUGCGCUAUGCUGAAAUUUAUCUUUUUUAAUGGACAAAGUCAAGUGACCUGCCACCAGUGCCACCUGACAGCCCUAGAUAAAAGGUGGCCAAAAGGUAACCAUUGGCUGCCCACUGGUGGUAACCUCAGCCGGGCACCCGAUGGUUAGCUUUUGGUCAACG